AAAGAGUUGGAAUUCAGGAGUUUAUAUUUAAAAUAUUACUAUAGUAAGUGUUAAAUUUACUUUGUAGUGGUGUCACAUUUUAGAGUUCAUUCAUAGGUGUUCAGCAAGCUCCCAUUAACAACCUGUAGAGUUCAUGGAUGGGUGGGGCUUGUGUGAAUUUCAGAGCUCUGUCUGGGCAUGUCUCGUUGGAAGGACUCCCCGCAGCACGCGCACGUUUUCAACUUCAGAACUUCGAAGCAUCAUGAGCAGUGGAACUUCUUUGUGAGAAUGGGACACCGAGAUGGCUUCUCUUCUGGUCCUUCUCCAUCUUCUCACACCACAACCAGAAGGAAGAAAGCGAGCCAAAAAGAUCAGUGUCAAAGAGGCAACGGAUCAUCUGGUUAAAUUCCUUAAGUCAUCCCAAAGCCUUGAAGAUCAUCUCUUGACCACCGAAGUAUCAAAUCAGCCAUACCUUCUUGCCACAGGAACUUCAAAAGCACAGGUUUCCACCUUCUACGUUGUCUUGGACAAAAAGCUUCUCCCAUGUCAGGCAUGUAGGACUUGGGGGCUUUUGAUGAACUGUUCAAGUCCCAUUUUGUUUUCAACAUGAAGUAUGAUGAUGCUCUGUCUAGUCUGUACACCUUUAUGCAGACUACAGUGUAAAAUAUUGAUUUGGGAACAUCAUAAACUUUUCAAAGAACUACAUCCAUCUAAGAACUUACUUCCAAAACAUCAUUUUAUGGUGCACUACACUAGAUGUAUCAGAAAAAUCUGACCCCUUAUUCACAUCUGAACAAUCUGAUGUGAAGCUAAACACACAUUUUUUAAAGACAGUGUGAAGAACUUCAAAAAAUUAUCAGUAUCACUUGCAAAUAAGCAUCAGCUUGCAGUAGCAUAUCACUGGGAAUGUCUGUCAUUUAAUGCCAUUGAGUCUGGUCCAGUUAAAACGUUUUCACUUGAAAUACUUGAAUUUUCAGAUGUUUUACGAGCAUAUCUUCAUGCUGAUUCUGACCUCACUGUUUGCAUGACAAAAUGGGUAAAGUGUUCUGGGAUUGAGUAUUGAGUUGGACGUUUUGUUUGCAGUGCUACAGAGAAAAAUAUGCCACAGUUCCACAAACUACUUUUAAUAAUUUUACACAGUGGUAAAAGUUAUUUUUUGUUUUGGCUCAGCAUGAGACCUGUUUUCAUGACCACUUCCAUUUCUUCCAAGUGAGUGAAAGUAUACCACGAAAGAGUUUGGUUAAGAUUAGGACAUUUCAAAUGCUUUGAUGCUCAGAUGUCGUAUGGGUCUGAUUCACUCUCUUUUGUUGCGUCAGAAAGUUGUAUUAUCUAAGAGUAUUCUACUUCAUCUUUUAGUGACUUAAAAAAAACGCUUUCACAGCUCUGAGUAUGUGUUAAAGUGUUUACUUUUUUUUAAUGUGAUGCGGCAACUUCUUUAUCAUCAAUUUUUCCACAAUAUUUCAUGGGAAUUCAAUACCAAGUGUAUUAAAAUGGUGUGCAAACAUCUGAAAAAUAAAGAAAAUAAAAGAAG